rfam:Shewanella sp. YQH10 contig23, whole genome shotgun sequence.
CGAGUUGGCCGGGCAGUCGCUGCGUUCGCAAGAACGGGGAGGAAAGUCCGGGCUCCAUAGAGCAGGGUGCCAGAUAACGUCUGGGCAGCGUGAGCUGACGACCAGUGCAACAGAGAGUAGACCGCCUGCCUUCGGGCCGGUAAGGGUGAAAGGGUGCGGUAAGAGCGCACCGCGCGGCUGGCAACAGUUCGUGGCACGGUAAACUCCACCCGGAGCAAGAUCAAAUAGGGUUCCUUAUGGCGUGGCUCGCGUUGGAACCGGGUAGAUUGCUUGAGCCUACGAGCGAUUGUAGGCCUAGAGGAAUGGCUGCCGCUCCUUCGGGAGAACAGGACCCGGCUUAUAGGCCAACUCACCUA